GAGUUUGAUCGUGGCUCAGAACGAACGCUGGCGGCGUGCUUAACACAUGCAAGUCGAACGAGAAAGAGUUCUUCGGAACUUGAGUAAAGUGGCGCACGGGUGAGUAACGCGUAGAUAACCUGCCCUGAUGUCUGGGGAUAACCCUUCGAAAGGGGGACGUAAUACCGGAUACGCUGAUUUUCUAUAAGGAGAAUCAGGAAGAUGGCCUCUGAUAUAAGCUAUCGCAUUUGGUAGGGGUCGUGCGUACCAUUAGCUU
rnacentral:rRNA from 1 species